rnacentral:lncRNA from 1 species
AUUUGGCUGGGCCUUUGUCUCUCGCUCCCACCAGAGCUUGGAAUCCGUCUCUGCUCUUCUGCAUUCUCCACCUCCGGAGCCCCUGGGGACUCUGUGACGGCCUCUGUUGCCCUGUGAUCUGCAGGUCCGGAGAGACGCACAGCUAAGAUGUCAGGACAUCCUGGAAGCUGGGAAAGGGUCUUGCCAUCUCUAAGCUGGACCUGGUGACCUUUUUGGAGGGAAAGAAAGAGCCCUGGACUGUGAAGAGUGAGGAGACCAUAGCUGCACAGCCAGUCCAGAUGUAUAAUCUCAUCCCUGAACAUUUCUGAUGGUGUGAUUAUGACAUGUGACUUUAUCUGGCAACAGAGUGAGUUGUUUCUCCCGCCUGAACCCAGCCCCCAGAAAGGAUUGUGACAUAUCGUUGGACCCAGAAUUGAGGUGGAAUUGUGACAUAUAACUUGGCCAAGCACACAGAUGUAAUGGUGUGGUGACUCUCAUACCUAGAACUGGGACCUGUGUGGGAUUGUUAAUUCAUUACUGGACAUUCCUGUGGGUGUGAUUGUUACAUAUGCCUAUGUUCAGCACCCAAGUGAUUUGAUUUUGCUGCCUGGUCUCAGUCCAAAUGUAAGAUUGUGAUUUAUCACUGAAUCCAGCACCUCGGUGAUUUGACUCUCCUCUUUUUUUGUGGGAGGGAUCCUGCAAAUUUUGGGUAUUGUCAAUUAUUGCUGAAUCCUGUACCCAUGUUAUGACUCUCCCAAAUGUGCCUUACCUGUUGUGGCACAAUAUAUCACAUUAGACAUUGUUAAAUAUUGUUGGGUUCAACACCUGGGUGAUGGAUGUAACUUUUUUUCUGGGCCUGCCUACAGGGGACCUUGUGACAUAACUCAAUGCCCAUCACCAUGGUAAUGUUACUCUCUUCUCCUGCCUGAUCUCUGCUCACAGAGAAAUUGUGACACAUCACUGGCCUAGCAUCUAGGUGAUGUGACUCUCCUCUUUUUUUCAGGCUCUGCAUAUUUGGGUAUUGUGACAUAUUGCUGAACUCAACACCUAAGGGAUGGGAGUCUCCUACCUAGGCCCUUCCUACAGGGGACAUUGUGACAUGUCUCUGCAUUCCUCAUCCAGGAGAUGUGACUCUCCUUUUCUGCCUACACCCUGCCUACACAGAAAGUUGUGGCAUAUUGCUGUGGUCAGCAACCAGAUGAUAUAUUUCUCCUGCCUGGGUCUUUAUUACAGGAAAGAUGAUUGACAUAUUACUGGGCCCAGCAUCCAGAUGAUGUGACUCUCUUCUUCUGUUGGUCCUUGCUUACAGGGAAACUGUAGCAUAUUGCUACACCCAACACCUAGCUUAUGUGAUUCUUCUUUUAGGUUUGCCUUCAGGGAACAUUGUGACAUAUUGCUGGGCCCUGCACUGACAAUUUGUGACUCUUCUGCCUGUGAUUUGCCCACUUGGGGCAUUGUGACAUAUUGCUGGGUUUAACACUCCGGUGAUGUAACUUUUAUGCCUAGGCCUUGCUUACAGGAGGCAUUUUGAAAUGUCUUUGUGGCUGGGCAUGGUGGCUCAUGUCUGUAAUCCCAGCGCUUGGGGAGGCCAAGGUGGGCAGAUCACAAAGUCAGGAGUUCGAGACCAGCUUGGUCAACAUGGUGAAAACCUGUCUCUACUAAACAAAACAAAACAAAACAAAAACACAAAAAUCAGCCAGGUGUGGUGAUUGGUGCCUGUAGUUCCAGCUACUCAGGAGGCUGAGGCAGGAUAAUCGCUUAAGUCCAGGAGGUGUAGGUUGCAGUGAGCUGAGAUCGCACCACUGCGCUCCAUCCUGGGCAACAGAGUGAGACUCCAUCUCCAAAAAAU